rnacentral:rRNA from 1 species
CCUACGGGUGGCAGCAGUAGGGAAUUUUGCGCAAUGGACGAAAGCCUGAAGCAGCAACGCCGCGUGAACGAGACGCCCUUCGGGGUGUAAAGUUCUGUCCGUGGGGACGAAAAAUGCCGGUACCCACAGUGGAAGCACCGGCUAACUCCGUGCCAGCAGCCGCGUGAAUACGGAGGGUGCAAGCGUUGUCCGGAAUCAUUGGGCGUAACGCGUUCGUAGGCGGCAUGUAAAGUCAGGUGUUAAAGGCGCAGGCUCAACCUGUGUAUGGCACUUGAUACUUGCAAGCUGGAGUGCGGUAGAGGUAAAGGGAAUUCCGGGUGUAGCGGUGAAAUGCUUAGAUAUCAGGAAGAACAUCGGUGGCGUAAGCGCUUUACUGGGCCGUAAUUGACGCUGAGGAACGAAAGCCAGGGCAGCAAAUGGGAUUAGAUACCCCGGUAGUC